UAAUGUGUCAGGUUCUAGUGUUUCCGGUUAUUUUGUGUCCAGUUCGGUUCUAUUGUGUCAGGUUCGGUUCUAAUGUGUCAGGUUCUAGCGUGUCUGUUUUGGUUGUAAUGUGUCAGGUUCUAGUGUUUCCGGUUAUUUUGUGUCCAGUUCGGUUCUAUUGUGUCAGGUUCGGUUCUAAUGUGUCAGGUUCUAUUGUGUCAGGUUCGGUUCUAAUGUGUCAGGUUCUAGCGUGUCUGUUUUGGUUGUAAUGUGUCAGGUUCUAGUGUUUCCGGUUAUUUUGUGUCCAGUUCGGUUCUAUUGUGUCAGGUUCGGUUCUAAUGUGUCAGGUUCUAUUGUGUCAGGUUCGGUUCUAAUGUGUCAGGUUCUAGCGUGUUUGGUUUGGUUCUAAUGUGUCAGGUUCUAGUGUUUCCGGUUAUUUUGUAUCCAGUUCGGUUCUAUUGUCAGGUUUGGUUCUAAUGUGUCAGGUUCUAGCGUGUCUGUUUUGGUUCUAAUGUGUCAGGUUCUAGUGUUUCCGGUUAUUUUGUGUCCAGUUCGGUUCUAUUGUGUCAGGUUCGGUUCUAAUGUGUCAGGUUCUAGCGUGUCUGGCUAACACAGCCAUGCUGCAGAGGCUAACGCAGUUAGCCAUGCUGCAGCUGUCUCAGACUGAGCAGUUACAGGCAGACUUCAGAGAAUUUUCUCUCAGUAAAUGUUGGACUGUCCUCUGUCUGUCUCUCAGCUAACAGGUCUUUAGCCUGAAGUCAUUGAUGACUACGACUCGUGGUCUGUAGUUUUAUCGAUCAAUACUGUUUGUGUGUAUUUAAAGAGUUGUUCCUGCAGUGAGGAUCCACCAGCUGCUCUGUCUCACUCAUGAUGAUGGUGAUGAUGAUGAUGAUGGUGUCUCCCACAGUCACUCUGCUGCUCUCUGAUACGAACCAUGAAGAGAGGUCGUCUUCGUCCUGUCACAUUUAUCUCUCCAUACAAAUGCAGAUGUUCACACUCAGAGUCCAUGUGUGGUGAACAGUGUCAGUAUAUUUAUUCUCUGACCUGCAGCUCGUCAUGGAAACGUUCUGAAUGAACGCUUUGCUAACCUUCCUGUAACUGAAUGCAGCAGCAGGUUAACAGAGUUCCUGACGUCAGUUAACUACAGAUCAGACACACUGAACCUGUACGUCUCCUCUUCAUCAUGUGAUGAAGCUUCACUGCUGGAUCCAGAGCAGUUAAACUGAGGGUGUGUUCAGAAACACUUACUCUGAGUGCAUGAGCGCAGUCUGCCACAAACUGCACCGUUGAGUUAAUCAGAACACUCCACAGCAGAGCGUGCUCUGGACUCUGUGUGAGGAGGCGGAGCAGCAGAGCGCCGAGCGGAGUGAAUGUGUGAUUUACUUAAUCAUUAAUUCAUUCAUGUAGAAACAGAACGCUCCUCAUUUUAGUUUGCAGCGUCAGACUGGCUUUCAUUUUAAGACCAAGAUAAGGAGAAAGCAAUAAAUACUGAAGUGAAUGUUCAAUGGAAACUUUAAGAUUUAAGGGUGUUUUGUGCAACAUUUUAUUUUAAAACUCAGACUUUAAGGAAAAUCAUAACUUUGUGUAACUGGCUGCAGAGAUUUACUGUUCUCAAAUAUGAAAAGUAAUUUUAUCAUAUUAAAUGUAAUAAAGUAUUACAGUAAAAGUAAAGUAAGUGUUUUUGAUAAAAUUAAGUGGUCAGAAUUUUGAGGAUUAUGAAGAUUAUUUCUUCUGAAUGUCCAUUAAAUGGAGCCUAAAUUACACUUAGAGAAAACAGGUCUGCUUCAUAAUUUAAAGGAUUUAAAGAACAAAAUCCAGCUUUUCCUUCCUCCCCUCCUUCCUCUCCUCCUCCCUUCCUUCCCUCCUUCCUCUCCUCCUCCCUUCCUUCCUCCCCUCCCCCCUUCCUUGUUCUCCUCCCCUCCUCCCUU